rnacentral:pre_miRNA from 1 species
AAAAAGACAAACCCUAGGUUUCCAUGUCCAACUUUAACUGUCCAUUUUAUAGGAAAAUUUUUUAUAAUUAGUAUUUUUAUUGUUGUUAGAUGAUAAAAUAUGAUUAAUAUUUUAUACGUGACUUGUCUUUUUAACUUUUUUUCAUAAUUUUUUUAAAUAAGAUAGACGGUUAAAUGUUGGGCACGAAAAUCAGGGUUUAUUUAUU